GACGAACGCUGGCGGCGUGCCUAAUACAUGCAAGUCGAACGAAACUUUCUUACACCGAAUGCUUGCAUUCACCGUAAGAAGUUGAGUGGCGGACGGGUGAGUAACACGUGGGUAACCUGCCUAAAAGAAGGGGAUAACACUUGGAAACAGGUGCUAAUACCGUAUAUCUCUAAGGAUCGCAUGAUCCUUAGAUGAAAGAUGGUUCUGCUAUCGCUUUUAGAUGGACCCGCGGCGUAUUAACUAGUUGGUGGGGUAACGGCCUACCAAGGUGAUGAUACGUAGCCGAACUGAGAGGUUGAUCGGCCACAUUGGGACUGAGACACGGCCCAAACUCCUACGGGAGGCAGCAGUAGGGAAUCUUCCACAAUGGACGCAAGUCUGAUGGAGCAACGCCGCGUGAGUGAAGAAGGUCUUCGGAUCGUAAAACUCUGUUGUUAGAGAAGAACACGAGUGAGAGUAACUGUUCAUUCGAUGACGGUAUCUAACCAGCAAGUCACGGCUAACUACGUGCCAGCCGCCGCGGUAAUAC
rnacentral:rRNA from 1 species